rnacentral:lncRNA from 1 species
CACAUGGAGUAAUAUAUUUUUCCCAGAGUGUUAUGGAUGCUGUCUACCUCUCACGUCAUUCAGAGGACUUCUAGCACAGAUGGACUUGGGGCACUGAGCGUGACAUUGCUCUGUUCUUUGAUGACCCAGCUGCUGGACCUAUUCUCAGAGUACUGCUGAGAGCAAGGAAUCCUGUUGCCCUGGACAGAGCUGAGCGAGGGUGGCUGAGAGCACCUGAAGGAGUGCUGCCUGUUUGAGGACAACUCAGAGGCAGCUAUCUUGAUCUAUUUCCCACUGGUGUGUGACACCUUCCAAAAAUACAAGGCACCUAGUAAGUUAAGAGCCUUAAUC